AUUGAACGCUGGCGGCAUGCCUUACACAUGCAAGUCGAACGGCAGCGGACCUUCGGGUGCCGGCGAGUGGCGAACGGGUGAGUAAUGUAUCGGAACGUACCUUUCAGUGGGGGAUAACGUAGCGAAAGUUACGCUAAUACCGCAUAUUCUGUGAGCAGGAAAGCAGGGGAUCGCAAGACCUUGCGCUGAUUGAGCGGCCGAUAUCAGAUUAGCUAGUUGGUGAGGUAAAGGCUCACCAAGGCGACGAUCUGUAGCGGGUCUGAGAGGAUGAUCCGCCACACUGGAACUGAGACACGGUCCAGACUCCUACGGGAGGCAGCAGUGGGGAAUUUUGGACGAUGGGGGCAACCCUGAUCCAGCCAUGCCGCGUGAGUGAAGAAGGCCUUCGGGUUGUAAAGCUCUUUCGUCCGGGAAGAAAUCGCAUCAGCUAAUACCCGGUGUGGAUGACGGUACCGGAAUAAGAAGCACCGGCUAACUACGUGCCAGCAGCCGCCGUAAUAC
rnacentral:rRNA from 1 species